UUUGAACUCUCCACCUCAACUAUGGAUAGUUGUGAGCUAUCCAAGUGAGCUAGCACUCAAUUCCAAUUAAUUAAAAUGACUGGUCCAAUACAAAGCAUAGGCCUGUUUUGAAUCUCACAAGCCCAAUUUUGAUUAAAUUCUUCAACUAAUUUUCUCAUUCUCUAUGUAGCGAAGUGCAGAACAGAGGAGGCGAAUAUUAAUUUUAUUUCUUCAAGAAAAUCAUAUGCUGAAGAAGAACACUACAAACUCAUAGGUAUUUUCUGGGUUUCUUUUACUUUUUAGUACUAUUUCUUAAUAUUGUUUUUAUAUAAAGAUGCACAAGAUAGUGAAUUCAUUGAUUUUCUGGGCUCUUUUUUUUGUCUUUAGUAAAAUGGGAAGAACUGAAGAACUCUUUGAGGAGCUUAUGAAUGUUGAAGUAGAGCUUCACGACGUCCAAGGUAAGCUUAGUAUACUGUUUUUUCAUCUUUUUUUCCUCUUUACCUCAUCUUUUUCUUUUAUAUUCGUUCGUCAGUAACAUUGAUUGAAAGGUUAUUCUUUGUUUAAUUCUACUAAGAACCAAGAUACAUUGUUCUAUAUUUGGUCAUGCUCUCUCUGAUGUUUAUAUUUGUUUGUCAAAUGUUUAAUCUGUAACAUUGUGUUAGAAUAUGUCAUAAUGCUAACAUA
rnacentral:lncRNA from 1 species